rnacentral:tRNA from 1 species
GGCAACAUGGCCGAGGGGUCUAAGGCGCUACGUUUAGGAAUUGUAUUGUGCAAUACCCAAUCCGUAGUCCGCAAGGGCGUGAGUUCGAAUCUCACUGUUGUCA